AAUUAAUUAGACAUCCACCCUAUAUGCGAUAUUCGCAUAAAUCAACCAUUGAGCUACUACCUCUUAGUACGUUCAACCGAUUAAUGGUGUUAAACAUAUUUUGGGGUCCAUCAUAGUGUUUUAGCAGUUUCUAUCUCAUAUCAUUAGAUAGCUACUCAAAGUUUAAAUUCAUAUAUCUGAAGUACAAAUUUUGUAGUGAUUAUCUGGCU